rnacentral:rRNA from 1 species
AGAGUUUGAUCCUGGCUCGAGAUGAACGCUGGCGGCGUGCCUAAUACAUGCAAGUCGAGCGGGUGUAGCAAUACAUCAGCGGCGAACGGGUGAGUAACACGUGGGUAACCUGCCUCUCAGUCUGGGAUACCCGAGGGAAACCUCGGCUAAUACCGGAUACUUCUCUUGAAGGCAUCUUCGAGAGAUAAAAACGGCUUCACAGCCGCGCUGAGAGAAGGACCUGCGGCGCAUUAGCUAGUUGGUGAGAUAAUAGCCCACCAAGGCGAGGAUGCGUAGCCGACCUGAGAGGGUGAUCGGCCACAAUGGAACUGAGAAACGGUCCAUACUCCUACGGGAGGCAGCAGUAGGGAGUUUUCGGCAAUGGGGGGAACCCCUGACCGAGCAACGCCGCGUGAGUGAUGAAGGUCUUCGGAUUGUAAAGCUCUGUUGUAGGGGACGAAUGGGUGAUCGAGGAAAUGCGGUCGCUUUGACGGUACUCUACCAGAAAGCCACGGCUAACUACGUG